rnacentral:rRNA from 1 species
GACGAUGUCUAGGGGUUCUGAGAGGAAGGUCCCCCACACUGGUACUGAGACACGGACCAGACUCCUACGGGAGGCAGCAGUGAGGAAUAUUGGUCAAUGGGCUUACGCCUGAACCAGCCAAGUCGCGUGAGGGAAGACUGCCCUAUGGGUUGUAAACCUCUUUUGUCAGGGAGCAACGCCGGCUACGUGUAGCCGGACUGAGAGUACCUGAAGAAAAAGCAUCGGCUAACUCCGUGCCAGCAGCCGCGGUAAUACGGAGGAUGCGAGCGUUAUCCGGAUUUAUUGGGUUUAAAGGGUGCGUAGGCGGAAUGCCAAGUCAGCGGUAAAAUCGCGGGGCUCAACCUCGCUCCGCCGUUGAAACUGGCGUUCUUGAGUGGGCGAGAAGUAUGCGGAAUGCGUGGUGUAGCGGUGAAAUGCAUAGAUAUCACGCAGAACUCCGAUUGCGAAGGCAGCAUACCGGCGCCCAACUGACGCUGAAGCACGAAAGCGUGGGUAUCGAACAGGAUUAGAUACCCUGGUAGUCCACGCAGUAAACGAUGAAUACUAGCUGUUCGGGGCAAUUGGGCCUUGAGUGGC